AAUAAAAUAAUCUAGAAUUGUUCCUCUAAAAGAUGGUGGGUGCAAGGGAAUGUGAGGCAGGCACCCAGGCCCUCUGCUGCAUCAUCUUUCCUUGUCCCAGUUUCUUUUUCCUGUCCAGGGAGUACAUGUGCCAAAGGGCCCACAAAACCUUAAAUACAAGUCAUGUUAUGACAGGGGAAGAUAACAUUUUUGAUUAAUUAGGAUUUAAAGUUAAUUCCCUAUCAUCAUGGUAGAAUCAUGGUCUCAUUCUACAAAGUCUCUCCUUGCUUCGAUAAAGCAAGUGCUCUUCAUUCUGAAUUAUAUCAGAAUAUGUUUCCUGCUUCAUUCCACUUACAACACACUACACUGCUGGAAUGACACUUAAAUGUCACCCUCCCCACCCAAUUCUCUUUUUUGUUUCCAAGCUUGAGAAAAGGUGUCCUCUGCCUCUGAGACAUAAAAGCAGCCCCUUUUACCAAAAAAUCAACAUUCUAGAUCACAGUUCAGCAAACACUCAUUUCCCCCCAGGCUUUUGGCCAUGUUUGCACUGUCUAGUGUUAGUUAUGCAUAUCUUUCACUCGAGCGCAAGUUAUUUUGUGUGCAAGAACUAUCUUGCUUGUUCUUUCUUCCUGAAAAUUUCUGUCUUUCUGGUUCUUUCUUCCUGAAAAUUUUUAUGUCUUUCUC
rnacentral:lncRNA from 1 species